rnacentral:rRNA from 1 species
AGCGAACGCUGGCGGCAGGCCUAACACAUGCAAGUCGAACGAAGUCUUCGGACUUAGUGGCGAACGGGUGAGUAACACGUGGGAACGUACCUUUUGGUUCGGAACAACUCAGGGAAACUUGAGCUAAUACCGGAUGAGCCCUUAGGGGGAAAGAUUUAUCGCCGAAAGAGCGGCCCGCGUUAGAUUAGCUAGUUGGUGAGGUAAAGGCUCACCAAGGCUACGACCUAUAGCUGGUCUGAGAGGAUGGUCAGCCACACUGGGACUGAGACACGGCCCAGACUCCUACGGGAGGCAGCAGUGGGGAAUCUUGCGCAAUGGGCGAAAGCCUGACGCAGCCAUGCCGCGUGAAUGAUGAAGGUCUUAGGAUUGUAAAAUUCUUUUACCAGGGACGAUAAUGACGGUACCUGGAGAAAAAGCCACGGCUAACUACGUGCCAGCAGCCGCAGUAAAAC